GUUUAAUAGUAUUUAAUUUGCUUUUCAGGUGGUUCACAGAACCAGUACACUCGGGGUUGGAUUAGCUAUUGCAACAGUAAACCUUCCCAAUACUGACCAAUGUUCAGUUCACCGUGUCCAUUCUCACGGCUUUCCUCGGAGAGUGAAAGGACAUUAUUGACAGUGAUUAGCAGUAGUAAGGCUACCUGAUGUAGUUGGCAAUCCACUGGCCCACUUCCCGUGUGCUGCUGAGUGUCACGGGAAGCAGGCUGGAAGCUGUUCUCUUCGGAAGCUUUCCUGAGCAAGUCUUGUGUUUGUAGCACCCUGAGUUAGGGGAACAGCUCAGACUCACGUAAUUUGACUGAUCUAACUUAAGAGCUUACAAUGAGACUCACUGGCUCAGCCAGUGCAGAGGACACUUCAGUGGGGCACUCCACAAAAAGCAUGUAAGACUCGGGCUAACUCGUCACCACAAAGUAAACUGACAGAAAAAAACUUCCUCACAACUGCAACACACAGGAGCUAUGUCUACCUUGAUAAAGGAUGCAGGAUAAGGAAACAACAGAGCAGGAAGCUCAGAUCUCAGGCCUGGCCACUUAGCAAGGCCUCACCCUUAACAGUUACCAAAUAUUUCCCUGUGCCAUGGGGGCAAAAUGCCUCUUAACAGCCAGCCACUCUCCAUACCUACCCUACCUACCCUGGAGAUAGACUGGAGGAUGUGGUGGCACCUCCAAGGCCCUGGUCACCCAGACAAUUGUGCAUUGCUUGUCUCCAAGAGGUCCUAACUCCAUCAACUGUCACGUCCCAGCUCUUGUGGUCUGAGCCAGAUGUUACUUGGCUAGCUUGGGUGGUGAAAGAAAGGGGUCUGAACAGGAAGUUCCCACCCAGGAGACCUUGCACCUCCUUUGCAAUGCAAAAUCUCUGCAGCUCCUAAGGAAAAACUAACAUGAAGACACUGCAGAUCCAGGGUCUGUGAGAUGUGGAAUCGACCCUUUCUACAUCACAGACCCCAUCCUCUCAGCACAGAGCCCAUGAAGAGUGCAGUCCACAGCACAGUCAAGGUCAGGGAUAAAACAGACUGUGUUCAUCAUUACAGUAAACUGAAAAUGAGUUAGAGAUCAACAGCCAUCUCUGCAGCCCCGUUAGCGGACUCCACUCUAAGUCUACAUACACACCAGUGCAUAUUUCCAGCACAUGCAUGUAAACCGGGAAAUUGAGACAAUCACAGAUGAUGCAGCUAUGGAGGGCCACGUGCGGUGGCUGGACACUCUGAGGGACAGUGUUUCAGGCCCUCCUGAAGUCUUCUUGAGGUAUUAUUUCAUGUUGCAAACUGCAACUUCACAGCUAAACUCCAAAUGUGCUGUCCUAUUUGUGUUUUCCAUCACCCUUACCCUGGACAUCCACACAGCCAGUUUCAUUAUAGCCAAGUCUCUCCUGUUUAUUCCCCAGUGAAGAGGGGAACGGAAUCACAAGACAUUAUUGAAAUGCCACAGAAUAACCUUACGUUCCUGAGGGAUGGUUUCAGGACGCAAAAGGCCAAAGCAUAAAGGAAGCCAAAACUACAUCUGUUUGCACAUGGACAAGAACCUCAGACUCCCUCAGCUCAAACACCUGACAUUCUAGCCAUUAAGGCAUUUCCUCCACACAAAAUAGGUUCCUACUGCAUGCUCCAGGGUACAGUGCACCCCGUGGUUGUCAGACAUCUUCUCCCGGGGGUGGGAGAUGCGGUGAGCAGAAGACAAAGGGAUGUGAUUUUAAACUAAUUCAAGUGAUCCUGAGGCUGAGAAGUUAUGUCUUCUAGUUACUGGCUCUCCCUUCUCUUCCAAGAAUGUUAGAAACACGGGGUACCACUUCAACAAGCCCUUCCAGUUUCUGACUUUGCUAAAAGUGCUUUUUCUCUGAGGCAGUGACAGGCCCCCAGGACUAAUGUUUCAAGAUUGGGUCCCCACUCCCCUCAGUGUUCACCUCCGCAGGACAACGUCUUCAUCUUAAUCACUCCUCUCUGAACCUCUCUUUUGUAACAGAACUGCCAAUGGCUGGAUGAAGUCCCUCACGUGGUGCUGGAACACCUCCAGCUUUAGGCCACAGAAUCAUGCUGAUCCUGCUCCCUCAGCAAGGCUCUGAAUUCCUUCCUGAGUAUGUUGUUGUAGUAGUAGUAGUAGUAGUUGUUGUUGUUGUUGUUCAGAUAUAAUCCUUAUUUUUGUGGUAGUGUCUGUGAUCGCUGGGUGAGCUGCUGCUCAGACACUCCCCUAGUGAGCCACACCCCAGCCCUGCACUGUGCUGACCCUCUCCUGCAUGCUGUUCACAGCCUUGCUCACUUCCCUGUGGCUUUAUGGCUGCUUCUCUCCUCUGGUCUGCUUUUCAUUGUCUUGUCUACAAGUUGUAUGACAUCUAAUGUAAAUGACUUCAUUUAAAGUUCCAGGUCAUUUAUAAAAAUCUGAAAUGGGGGGACUUCACCUGGUAAGGCUGUCUCCAGGAGAUGUCAGUCCCAAUUCUGUAAUGAGUCUCCUCAGUGGAGAAACCACAGUCCUGUAAGACGUGGCGUUCUGAAUCUUGCCUUAGUGAAGAGCAUGACUGACUCCUGCAAGUCUGAACAAAUGUGACCUCCUCCCUCCAUGAAUGGGUCCUGUUUGCUUCUCCUUCCAUCCCCUCAGCCACAACUAGGACUCCAGUGGCAUCACCAGCUCACAAAGGAUGGACCAUCUGCCAAGUCAAGCGGGUCCCGGUGCUGUGCUUCUACCCGGACAGCACACCACAAAGCCAGGCUUUGCCAGUCAGAAGCAAAGGGGGAAACUUCUAUAGGGCCAGAAGGAAACCUACAAGGACUUUGGUUUCGGUUUUGCUUAAGUUGAAAUCACAUGAUUUUAAAACGCCAUAGUAAUAGAGGGGAGUGAGGCAGCACACCGAGGAGGGUACAGCUAAGUUUAGCUUGGUCGGAGGCCUGACGGAAGCCCAUUUAGCUCCCAAUUACCAAGUGCUUAAGUCAGCACAGGCAGAGAGACGCAGCAAUCCUGGGAAAGCAGGGACAGAAAGAAAGUGACCGGUCAUGGACAGCUGUGAAAACAGCAACUGUAUACCCACCCAUCAUGCUCUUAGCUGAGCACUUGAGAGCAAGUGAGCACUCGGGUGCAGGUGAGCACUCAGAGCAGCUGAGCACUCGGGAGCAGGUGAGCAAUUGGGAGCAAGUGAGUACUCGGAUGCAGGUGAACACUUGGGUGCAGGUGAGCACUCAGGAGCAGCUGAGCACUCGGGUGCAGCUGAGCACUCAGGAGCAGCUGAGCACUGUCCUGACUUAAAUCUUAAGCCAAUUCUCACACAGGGAAGGAUGAUCUGACCACUUCAGUCAAAGCAUCACAAUGAAGAAAUUCAACAGGAAAGCUUGACCCAGAACAGCAGCCAAGAUGAUCCACACCUAGCUCCCAUUCCAAACUAGGCAAGUCCCUGUCACCCUGAUCGCAGACCUCCUCUGCCCCAACCCCUGAGGAUGGGCUAUUUCCUGAUCUACUCCAAGGCCAAGGACCUUCCAGGUAUGCGACAGGAAGCGCCAGGACACGCAGGACACAGGAUCUGUCGGUGGCUGUAUGAAUGACUCAGGGGACACUUGUUCACAUAGACCAUGAAGGAAGCAAACACCACUGCCGUGAAGCCAGGAGGUGAGAUGCUCUACGAUGUAGAGAAGACUCCUCUAGUGUGCAGAGGACGACAAGGCUACGUAAUGGCAAGACACGGUGGAGGGCCAGGGACACAGCCACCCUCUGUGGGGUCCUCCACCCAGGCUAGCAGCCAGCAAGAAGCACAUAGGGGACUGUGUGCCCCCAACCCCGCCGGCUCCUCACUCGGCACCUGUCCUAGGUGGCACUGUUGCUGGUGAUAGUUUCUCUCCAUAGCCCAGAUGGCUGAGCUGCUGUCAAAGCUCAAAGAGAGGGUUGUAUUUCCUAACCUCCUGGAGCAGUUUUUCUUUGUCCUGGUUGGCAAUGGCCAGUGCUUGUUUGGUGUCCAUAAGCUCUUGCUGGAGGGUAGGCGAUUCUUUCUCCUGA
rnacentral:lncRNA from 1 species